CAGAGUCGAGUGUAGCCUCAUGACGCCACAGGCUUUAGUGAGGCCUCCAGACUCUGAUUGGACUCUUCACGACCUCACAGC
rnacentral:rRNA from 1 species